rnacentral:tRNA from 1 species
UCCGAAUUGGUGUAGUGGCUAACAUUUGACGCUCUCAAGAUUAUAAAAUCAAAGGAACCGUCAAGCCCGGGGUUCGAUUCCCCGAUUCGGAG